CUAAUACCGCAUAAGCCUGUGAAGGGAAAGCAGCAAUGCGCUGGAGGAGGAGCCCGCGGCCGAUUAGCUAGUUGGUGGGGUAAUGGCCUACCAAGGCGAUGAUCGGUAGCCGGCCUGAGAGGGCACACGGCCACACUGGCACUGAAACACGGGCCAGACUCCUACGGGAGGCAGCAGUGGGGAAUCUUGCACAAUGGAGGCAACUCUGAUGCAGCGACGCCGCGUGAGCGAUGAAGCCCUUCGGGGUGUAAAGCUCUUUCGGCGGGGACGAUAAUGACGGUACCUGGAGAAGAAGCUGCGGCUAACUACGUGCCAGCAGCCGCGGUAAUACGUAGGCAGCGAGCGUUGUUCGGAAUUACUGGGCGUAAAGAGUGUGUAGGCGGUGCUCUAAGUUCGGUGUGAAAUCUCCUGGCUUAACUGGGAGGGUGCGCCGGAAGCUGGGGUGCUCGAGCGUGGGAGAGGAAAGCGGAAUUCCUGGUGUAGCGGUGAAAUGCGUAGAUAUCAGGAGGAACACCUGUGGUGUAGACGGCUUUCUGGACCAUUGCUGACGCUGAGACCACGAAAGCGUGGGUAGCAAACA
rnacentral:rRNA from 1 species